rnacentral:rRNA from 1 species
GAUGAACGCUGGCGGCGUGCCUAAUACAUGCAAGUCGAGCGAACAGACGAGGAGCUUGCUCCUCUGACGUUAGCGGCGGACGGGUGAGUAACACGUGGAUAACCUACCUAUAAGACUGGGAUAACUUCGGGAAACCGGAGCUAAUACCGGAUAAUAUAUUGAACCGCAUGGUUCAAUAGUGAAAGACGGUUUUGCUGUCACUUAUAGAUGGAUCCGCGCCGCAUUAGCUAGUUGGUAAGGUAACGGCUUACCAAGGCAACGAUGCGUAGCGGACCUGAGAGGGUGAUCGGCCACACUGAAACUGAGACACGGUCCGGGCUCCUACGGGAGGCCGCCGUAGGGAAUCUUCCGCAAUGGGCGAAAGCCUGACGGAGCAACGCCGCGUGAGUGAAGAAGGUCUUCGAAUCGUAAAACUCUGUUAUUAGGGAAGAAGAAGUGUGUAAGUAACUAUGCACGUCUUGACGGUACCUAAUCAGAAAACCACGGCUAACUACGUG